rnacentral:piRNA from 1 species
UAUAUUAAGAGGUUGGAGACAAGACA